GGAAACGUGGCCGAGCGGCUGAAGGCGCUCCCCUGCUAAGGGAGUAUGGGGGUUGUACCCUCAUCGUGGGUUCGAAUCCCACCGUUUCCGCCA
rnacentral:tRNA from 2 species